rnacentral:rRNA from 1 species
CCUACGGGAGGCAGCAGUGAGGAAUAUUGCGCAAUGGGGGCAACCCUGACGCAGCAAUACCGCGUGAGUGAUGAAGGCCUUCGGGUUGUAAACCUCUUUCAGGAGGGACGAAGCGAAAGUGACGGUACCUCCACAAGAAGCCCCGGCCAACUACGUGCCAGCAGCCGCGGUAAU